GGCGGUGUAGCUCAAUGGUGAGAGCAUACGGCUCAUACCCGUAGUGUUGGAGGUUCGAAUCCUCCCACCGCCACCA
rnacentral:tRNA from 2 species